AAAGCGUGGGGAGCGAACAGGAUUAGAUACCCUGGUAGUCCACGCCGUAAACGAUGAGUGCUAAGUGUUAGGGGGUUUUCCCCCCUUAGUGCUGCAGCUAACGCAUUAAGCACUCCGCCUGGGGAGUACGGUCGCAAGACUGAAACUCAAAGGAAUUUGACGGGGGCCCGCACAAGCGGUGGAGCAUGUGGUUUAAUUCGAAGCAACGCGAAGAACCUUACCAGGUCUUGACAUCCUCUGACAAUCCUAGAGAUAGGACGUCCCCUUCGGGGGCAGAGUGACAGGUGGUGCAUGGUUGUCGUCAGCUCGUGUCGUGAGAUGUUGGGUUAAGUCCCGCAACGAGCGCAACCCUUGAUCUUAGUUGCCAGCAUUCAGUUGGGCACUCUAAGGUGACUGCCGGUGACAAACCGGAGGAAGGUUGGGAUGACGUCAAAUCAUCAUGCCCCUUAUGACCUGGGCUACACACGUGCUACAAUGGAC
rnacentral:rRNA from 1 species